AUGGCUAAGCUGAAAGAUGAUGAGAGCAAGCUUGUGGAAGCAGCUAAGAAGAGAAAAGAGGACUCGGAACAAAAAAAAUUAGCUGCUGAACAGAAAAAGAAAGCCAUCCUAGAGGAGAGAAAAUUGGCUACUGAGGCAAGAAAAAGAGAGAAUGAAGAGAAAAAGAGAAAAGCUGAAGAGGAGAAACUAGCACUUGCUGAGGGGAAAAGAUUAGCUAUGCUUAACAGGAAUAAGGAAGCACAGGAAGCAAGGCAAAAGAAGGCGGAAGAAAAAACAAGAAUUCAAGAGGAAAAGAGAAAAGAGGCAGAGGAAGCACUUCAAAGAGAAGCAAUGACCUUUAUGAUGAUGCAGCAAGAUAACCAAGAGAGGAUAGAAGGGUUCAAAAAAUAUGCACUGAUGGAGGAGCAAGCAAGGAGAAAAGCAUGGGAGGAGCAUAUGAAUGUGCAGAACAAUGAAAAGGAAAUGACCUGGGAAGAGAGGCAGAGCGUAGCAGAGGAACAGAAUCAGCUUCAAGCUACUGCAGCAAGGCAACAGGCAAUGGAGGAGAAAAAAGGCUAUAUGAGCUUCAAGCAAUGA
rnacentral:rRNA from 1 species